GGGGGCCCGCACAAGCGGCGGAGCAUGCGGAUUAAUUCGAUGCAACGCGAAGAACCUUACCAAGGCUUGACAUGAACCGGAAAUACCUGGAAACAGGUGCCCCGCUUGCGGUCGGUUUACAGGUGGUGCAUGGUUGUCGUCAGCCCGUGUCGUGAGAUGUUGGGUUAAGUCCCGCAACGAGCGCAACCCUCGUUCUAUGUUGCCAGCGCGUUAUGGCGGGGACUCAUAGGAGACUGCCGGGGUCAACUCGGAGGAAGGUGGGGACGACGUCAAAUCAUCAUGCCCCUUAUGUCUUGGGCUUCACGCAUGCUACAAUGGCCGGUACAAAGGGUUGCGAUACUGUGAGGUGGAGCUAAUCCCAAAAAGCCGGUCUCAGUUCGGAUUGGGGUCUGCAACUCGACCCCAUGAAGUCGGAGUCGCUAGUAAUCGCAGAUCAGCAACGCUGCGGUGAAUACGUUCCCGGGCCUUGUACACACCGCCCGUCAAGUCACGAAAGUUGGUAACACCCGAAGCCGGCGGCCUAACCCCUUACGGGGAGGGAGCCGUCGAAGGUGGGACCGGCGAUUGGGACUAAGUCGUAACAAGGUAACCGUAAGGGC
rnacentral:rRNA from 1 species